AAAGAAAAAAAAAAGAAGAGAUGGGAAAAGGAGAGAGAAGAGAUAGCCGAUUGAAAAAAUGUAGUUAAAGAGUAAAUAAAUAAAAUAAUUUAUUUAAAGUGCCUUCUCCAUUUAAAGUGCUUUCUCUAUUUAAAGUGCAUAAUUAUGAACUAACUUUUAAAAAAGUGUCUAAUCACGUAAUAUUCUCUUUUUUUUUUAGGCACUUUUCAGGGAUGAGACAUUUUCUCUUGUUUCUGGAUGAUAAAAUGAUAAUUAUAUCCUUUUCAAACUAAACCAUCAAUUGCUUAACCGGUUAACAUGGUUUUGUUUGAAUUGAUAUCUAAUAAAACGACAGUUGAGAUUUGCAGAUGAGAAAGAGUUACCUUCACAAUUACAGGUCUUCCGAUUAUCUCACAAUCUCGAUGUUGAUGGCUGAUAAUUCUUCCGGCCAAUCUCUUUCUCAUCGCAAACCUCCAACAUCUUCUCCUUCCUCUAUAUCCACCACUGUUUCUUCUCCUAAAUCGCCAUUUCGUCUUCGUUUCGAGAAACCUCCAUCUAGAUUCGGGUUAUCGUUUCUGCAUCGUCUCCUCCGGGAGGAGUUUUAAAGAGGAAACGACCUACAAGGCUUGAUAUACCGAUUGGUGUUGCUGGAUUUGUAGCUCCGAUUUCUUCAUCGGCCGAUGUAGCUAUGACGUCGAGGGAGGAGUGUAGAGAGGUUGAAAGAGAAGGUGAUGGUUAUUUUGUUUAUUGUAAGAGAGGAAGAAGAGAAGCUAGAGAGGUUAUAUCAAGUUGGACUCCAAUGAUAAUGUUAGAUGAGCAAACAAAAAAGUGCUAAUUUUAUCGAUCUAUAAACACAUUCGCAGCAAAUCAAAGACAUACUUGUCCAUUAAUGAUUGUCCAAGCAAUUCAGUCCAUAUGGUCAUCUAAUGACUCACAUGGUAGUUUCAUACUAAUACAUACGUUUAUACAUAAACAAUAAACGCCAAUCCAAAGUACAUUAUCCAUGUCUCUUUGACCAUUUAUCCACAUGUGUAUAGACAUGUUGAUACAAUUUUAUCGAGCUAUAAACACAUUUGCAGCAAAUCAAAGACAUACUUGUCCAUUAAUGAUUGUCCAAGCAAUCCAGUCCAUAUGGUUAUCUAAUGACUCACAUGGUAGUUUCAUACUAAUACAUAAGUUAUACAUGAACAAUAAACGCCAAUCCAAAGUACAUUAUCCAUGUUUCCUUGACCAUUUAUCCACAUGUAUAUAGACAUGUUGAUACAAUUUUCUCGAGCUAUAAACACAUUCGCAGCAAAUCAAAGACAUACUUGUCCAUUAAUGAUUGUCCAAGCAGUCCAGUCCAUAUGAUCAUCUAAUGACUCACAUGUUAGUUUCAUAC
rnacentral:sRNA from 1 species